UACGUAGGGGGCUAGCGUUGUCCGGAAUCAUUGGGCGUAAAGCGCGCGUAGGCGGCCCGGUAAGUCCGCUCUGAAAGUCCAGGGCUCAACCCUGGAAAGCGGGUGGAUACUGCCGGGCUAGAAUCCGGAAGAGGCGAGUGGAAUUCCUGGUGUAGCGGUGGAAUGCGCAGAUAUCAGGAGGAACACCAAAAAAGGCGAAGGCAGCCAACUAUUCUAUUCCUGACAUUGAGGCAUGAAAGCGUGGGGAGCAAACCGG
rnacentral:rRNA from 1 species